rnacentral:rRNA from 1 species
UACGUAGGGUCCGAGCGUUGUUCGGAAUUACUGGGCGUAAAGAGUGUGUAGGCGGUGUUCUAAGUUUGUCGUGAAAUCUCCCGGCUUAACUGGGAGGGUGCGGCGAAAACUGGAAUGCUAGAGGAUGGGAGAGGUAAGCGGAAUUCCUGGUGUAGCGGUGAAAUGCGUAGAUAUCAGGAGGAACACCUGUGGUGUAGACAGCUUACUGGACCAUUUCUGACGCUGAGACACGAAAGCGUGGGUAGCAAACAGG